CCUACGGGAGGCAGCAGUGGGGAAUAUUGGACAAUGGGCGAAAGCCUGACCCAGCGACGUCGCGUGGGGGAAGAAGGCCCUUGAGUUGUAAACCCCUUUUCCAAGGGAAGAGUAAGGACGGUACCUUGGGAAUAAGCCCCGGCUACUACGUGCCAGCAGCCGCGGU
rnacentral:rRNA from 1 species